UAAUACAUGCAAGUCGUACGCUUCUUUUUCCACCGGAGCUUGCUCCACCGGAAAAAGAGGAGUGGCGAACGGGUGAGUAACACGUGGGUAACCUGCCCAUCAGAAGGGGAUAACACUUGGAAACAGGUGCUAAUACCGUAUAACAAUCGAAACCGCAUGGUUUUGAUUUGAAAGGCGCUUUCGGGUGUCGCUGAUGGAUGGACCCGCGGUGCAUUAGCUAGUUGGUGAGGUAACGGCUCACCAAGGCCACGAUGCAUAGCCGACCUGAGAGGGUGAUCGGCCACAUUGGGACUGAGACACGGCCCAAACUCCUACGGGAGGCAGCAGUAGGGAAUCUUCGGCAAUGGACGAAAGUCUGACCGAGCAACGCCGCGUGAGUGAAGAAGGUUUUCGGAUCGUAAAACUCUGUUGUUAGAGAAGAACAAGGAUGAGAGUAACUGUUCAUCCCUUGACGGUAUCUAACCAGAAAGCCACGGCUAACUACGUGCCAGCAGCCGCGGUAAUACGUAGGUGGCAAGCGUUGUCCGGAUUUAUUGGGCGUAAAGCGAGCGCAGGCGGUUUCUUAAGUCUGAUGUGAAAGCCCCCGGCUCAACCGGGGAGGGUCAUUGGAAACUGGGAGACUUGAGUGCAGAAGAGGAGAGUGGAAUUCCAUGUGUAGCGGUGAAAUGCGUAGAUAUAUGGAGGAACACCAGUGGCGAAGGCGGCUCUCUGGUCUGUAACUGACGCUGAGGCUCGAAAGCGUGGGGAGCAAACAGGAUUAGAUACCCUGGUAGUCCACGCCGUAAACGAUGAGUGCUAAGUGUUGGAGGGUUUCCGCCCCUUCAGUGCUGCAGCUAACGCAUUAAGCACUCCGCC
rnacentral:rRNA from 1 species